UGAUGAUCUCAGUCUAUUCAAUGCUUUCUUAUGGGAAAUCAUUGUGAUUGGCUGAGAACAUCAAUCCUGAUGAUGUCAGCCAAAAAGGUGGAUCAGAGGCGGGGCCAUACGUGAAAAUCCAGCUUGGCGCUGGAAAAAGGUGAGUAAAUUACCUUUCUAACCCCAGGUAAGGAGGGCUGACCACCUAAAAGGUGGUUUUACAUGAAUACAGACAAAUGAGACAACUGUUUCUUUCAUUUGAAAAGUGACACACAUUGGAUUGGUUGAGAUCAUAAAUUCUGAUGUCAGCCAAGGAAGUGGACAUGGGGCGGGGAAACUGCCCUGCGCUGAAAUAAGGGUUAGCAAACUACUUUUAUUUAAAUGGACAGGGAACAUAACAUGUGUUUUUAACACAAUAGGGUCAGGAAUACAGAUUUGUAUUGCAGACUCUAUCGUAUUCCUUUGAUGUUCAAAUGGAAUUAAAAAAAACAAAAUACAAACACA